CAUGGUGCCUUGCCUUGCUGGCGUUCUUGUUUCCGCUGCAGGUACCGUGCACGAGCGUCGCUUACAGAGCCCUCAUCAUUACGCCUCUCCAGUUUUUUCAAGCAGCUUCUUUGGUCUCCCAUUUGGCCACCUCCUCCUCAGUCACCUCCUCUCUGGCAACACUGCUCAGCUCGUACACAUCAACCUCGUGCAGUUUGGGCAGCAGGUCUUUCACCCAAUCAUAGCGGAUGGGGCACACCGUUCUAACGUAGAUUCGCGAAGUGACCAAAACAUCAUGGAAGAUGAUCCAGUCGAGCAUCUCCUCUUGGUCAAAGAGCUGGGACACAAGAUGAUGCAGGAUGAAUGUGGACCAUGGAUCCAUGACCAUCCAUGGUGCAGAAGACCUUCCCAACAGAUCUAGGACGAGGGAAAUAUUUGAAAAGGUUCCACAGAGGAAUAUGGAUUGUUACCAUGGCUAUGCAGUCGUGUAAUUACAUUUCUAUGGUUUCAAGAUACGAAUCCUACUCAUAAACUACAAGUUCCUAUGUGAAUCCACGUUGGAAUACACUCAAGAAUACCUGUUGGAGUCGGAGCAGGAUCUCCUUGAGCUGGGUCUCUAUACUGAAGGACGACUUGAGCGCCCUCCAGUGGAUCCAGUUAUCUUUGCACCAGGCUGAGGGGUUUUCACUGCAACAUAAGACGAAGAUUCAAAAAGAUAAUUCACAAAGGAUGACAUGACAAAUUACAUAAUAAAAAUUACAUUAUUAAGAC